rnacentral:rRNA from 1 species
UUGAACGCUGGCGGCAGGCCUAACACAUGCAAGUCGAGCGGUGAGCACAGAGAGCUUGCUCUCGGGUGACGAGCGGCGGACGGGUGAGUAAUGUCUGGGAAACUGCCUGAUGGAGGGGGAUAACUACUGGAAACGGUAGCUAAUACCGCAUAACGUCGCAAGACCAAAGUGGGGGACCUUCGGGCCUCAUGCCAUCAGAUGUGCCCAGAUGGGAUUAGCUAGUAGGUGGGGUAAUGGCUCACCUAGGCGACGAUCCCUAGCUGGUCUGAGAGGAUGACCAGCCACACUGGAACUGAGACACGGUCCAGACUCCUACGGGAGGCAGCAGUGGGGAAUAUUGCACAAUGGGCGCAAGCCUGAUGCAGCCAUGCCGCGUGUAUGAAGAAGGCCUUCGGGUUGUAAAGUACUUUCAGCGAGGAGGAAGGCGUUAAGGUUAAUAACCUUGGCGAUUGACGUUACUCGCAGAAGAAGCACCGGCUAACUCCGUGCCAGCAGCCGCGGUAAUACGGAGGGUGCAAGCGUUAAUCGGAAUUACUGGGCGUAAAGCGCACGCAGGCGGUCUGUCAAGUCGGAUGUGAAAUCCCCGGGCUCAACCUGGGAACUGCAUUCGAAACUGGCAGGCUAGAGUCUUGUAGAGGGGGGUAGAAUUCCAGGUGUAGCGGUGAAAUGCGUAGAGAUCUGGAGGAAUACCGGUGGCGAAGGCGGCCCCCUGGACAAAGACUGACGCUCAGGUGCGAAAGCGUGGGGAGCAAACAGGAUUAGAUACCCUGGUAGUCCACGCCGUAAACGAUGUCGACUUGGAGGUUGUGCCCUUGAGGCGUGGCUUCCGGAGCUAACGCGUUAAGUCGACCGCCUGGGGAGUACGGCCGCAAGGUUAAAACUCAAAUGAAUUGACGGGGGCCCGCACAAGCGGUGGAGCAUGUGGUUUAAUUCGAUGCAACGCGAAGAACCUUACCUACUCUUGACAUCCAGAGAACUUAGCAGAGAUGCUUUGGUGCCUUCGGGAACUCUGAGACAGGUGCUGCAUGGCUGUCGUCAGCUCGUGUUGUGAAAUGUUGGGUUAAGUCCCGCAACGAGCGCAACCCUUAUCCUUUGUUGCCAGCGGUCCGGCCGGGAACUCAAAGGAGACUGCCAGUGAUAAACUGGAGGAAGGUGGGGAUGACGUCAAGUCAUCAUGGCCCUUACGAGUAGGGCUACACACGUGCUACAAUGGCAUAUACAAAGAGAAGCGACCUCGCGAGAGCAAGCGGACCUCAUAAAGUAUGUCGUAGUCCGGAUUGGAGUCUGCAACUCGACUCCAUGAAGUCGGAAUCGCUAGUAAUCGUAGAUCAGAAUGCUACGGUGAAUACGUUCCCGGGCCUUGUACACACCGCCCGUCACACCAUGGGAGUGGGUUGCAAAAGAAGUAGGUAGCUUAACCUUCGGGAGGGCGCUUACCACUUUGUGAUC